rnacentral:rRNA from 1 species
UGGGGAAUAUUGGGCAAUGGGCGAAAGCCUUACCCAGCAACGCCGCGUGAGGGAAGAAGGUUUUCGGAUUGUAAACCUCUGUCCUGGGGGACGAAGGAAGUGACGGUACCCCGGGAGGAAGCCCCGGCUAACUACGUGCCAGCAGCCGCGGUAAUACGUAGGGGGCGAGCGUUGUCCGGAAUUAUUGGGCGUAAAGGGCGCGUAGACGGCCGAGUAAGUUAUAGGUGAAAGCCCAUCUUUCAAGGAUGGAAUUGCCUGUAAUACUGCUUGGCUUGAGUGCAGGAGAGGGAAGCGGAAUUCCUAGUGUAGCGGUGAAAUGCGUAGAUAUUAGGAGGAACACCAGUGGCGAAGGCGGCUUUCUGGACUGUAACUGACGUUGAGGCGCGAAAGCGUGGGGAGCAAACAGGAUUAGAUACCC